ACGUGAGGCCUGCAGGUCCUUGCAUGCUGGAGCCUCCAGAGUGAGUCAGGAGCUGUUGGAGUGUUUUGGUGCUCCAGCUUUACCCAGUCAGCUCAGGGAGAGCUAAAGAUGCUGCAGAUCUGAACUACCAGUGAGACUUGGGCCAUGAAGUUUGUCAUGCAGUGAACUGUGAAUGCAACUGGUGUUGGGUUUAGAGACAUGAUGUUUUACUUACUCAGCCUCUGAACUCUAAAGAAAUCUGCAGAGAGGGAAAUACCUCUGGUACUCCAGGCAUGCAGAUACAUUUCUGCUUCUGAUGGAUUUACGUUUCAGGAGAAGUGAAGAAUUGAUUCAGUGACCUGUCGCCAUGCCAACGCAUGUAUCCAUGUCCUAAAUAAACCUGAGAAGUGUUUUUAAA